GGACAGCUAGGGGCUUAAGAUAUCGUCAUGAAGAUUGUAGAGUGGGUUGUAUAAUGCACAGAGACAUAAGGCCCAACAAUAUCCUCAUAACACAUGAUUUUGAACCCCUGGUUGCUGAUUUUGCGCUUGCUAGGUGGCACUCUGAAUGAAGUAUUAAUACAGAGGAACGAGUCGUUGGAACUCCAGGGUAUCUUGCACCAGAGUACAUCGAUGGUGGAAAGAUUACACACAAAGUUUAUGUGUAAGCAUUUGGUGUGGUUUUGUUAGAACUAAUGACAGGCCAAAGAAUCAGUGAGCUACAUUUUUAUGAGGGACUGCAUUUCUUAUCCGACUGGUACACU
rnacentral:misc_RNA from 1 species